rnacentral:rRNA from 1 species
AGCGAACGCUGGCGGCAGGCUUAACACAUGCAAGUCGAACGGGCACCUUCGGGUGUCAGUGGCAGACGGGUGAGUAACACGUGGGAACGUGCCCUUCAGUUCGGAACAACCCAGGGAAACUUGGGCUAAUACCGGAUACGCCCUUCGGGGAAGGAUUGAUCGCUGAAGGAUCGGCCCGCGUCUGAUUAGCUAGUUGGUAGGGUAACGGCCUACCAAGGCGACGAUCAGUAGCUGGUCNGAGAGGAUGAUCAGCCACACCUGGGACUGAGACACGGCCCAGACUCCUACGGGAGGCAGCAGU